CAGAGAAUAGUUUAAUUAAAACUUUAGUUUUGGAGACUAAGAAUGGGGAUUAUCCUUUUCUCUGA
rnacentral:tRNA from 1 species